rnacentral:snRNA from 1 species
UUGCUUGCUUCAGCAGCACAUAUAAUAAAUUGGAACGCUACAGAGAAGUUUAGCAUGGCCCCUGCACAAGGAUGAUUCACAAAUUCGUGAAGCGUUCCAUAUUUUU